rnacentral:rRNA from 1 species
GUUUGAUCCUGGCUCAGGAUGAACGCUAGCGGCAGGCUUAAUACAUGCAAGUCAAGGGGGUAGCAAUACAACCGGCGCACGGGUGAGUAACACGUACACAACAUACCAUAUACUGAGGUAUAGCUUCGGGAAACUGAAGGUAAUCCCUCAUAGUAUUGUGAAAGGGCAUCUUUUUACAAUUAAAGUUUCGACGGUAUAUGAUUGGUGUGCGUUUGAUUAGCUAGUUGGUAGGGUAACGGCCUACCAAGGCAACGAUCAAUAGCUGGCGUGAGAGCGCGACCAGCCACACUGGAACUGAGACACGGUCCAGACUCCUACGGGAGGCAGCAGUAGGGAAUAUUGGACAAUGGGCGAAAGUCUGAUCCAGCCAUGCCGCGUGAUAGAUGAAGGCCCUCUGGGUUGUAAAUAUCUUUUAUCUGGGAAGAAACACUUCUAUUCUUAGAAGCUUGACGGUACCAGAGGAAUAAGCACCGGCUAACUCCGUG